ACGGGUGAGUAACACGUGAGUAACCUGCCCCUGACUCUGGGAUAAGCGUUGGAAACGACGUCUAAUACUGGAUACGACUGCCGGCCGCAUGGUCUGGUGGUGGAAAGAUUUUUUGGUUGGGGAUGGACUCGCGGCCUAUCAGCUUGUUGGUGAGGUAAUGGCUCACCAAGGCGACGACGGGUAGCCGGCCUGAGAGGGUGACCGGCCACACUGGGACUGAGACACGGCCCAGACUCCUACGGGAGGCAGCAGUGGGGAAUAUUGCACAAUGGGCGAAAGCCUGAUGCAGCAACGCCGCGUGAGGGAUGACGGCCUUCGGGUUGUAAACCUCUUUUAGUAGGGAAGAAGCGAAAGUGACGGUACCUGCAGAAAAAGCACCGGCUAACUACGUGCCAGCAGCCGCGGUAAUACGUAGGGUGCAAGCGUUGUCCGGAAUUAUUGGGCGUAAAGAGCUCGUAGGCGGUUUGUCGCGUCUGCUGUGAAAUCCCGAGGCUCAACCUCGGGCUUGCAGUGGGUACGGGCAGACUAGAGUGCGGUAGGGGAGAUUGGAAUUCCUGGUGUAGCGGUGGAAUGCGCAGAUAUCAGGAGGAACACCGAUGGCGAAGGCAGAUCUCUGGGCCGUAACUGACGCUGAGGAGCGAAAGCGUGGGGAGCGAACAGGAUUAGAUACCCUGGUAGU
rnacentral:rRNA from 1 species